AUGGACAUCUUCACCUCCACUGGCCUUAAGUAUGUCCUUUCCCAGGUGCAGCUGCAAGAAUCAGGAUCUGGUCUGGUCAAACCCUCGCAGACCCUGUCUCUCACAUGUGCUGUCUUUGGAUUCUCCAUCACAACCAGUGCUUGCUGCUGGCACUGGAUCCGUCAGCCUGCAGAGAAGAGCCUGGAGUGGAUGGGGCGUAUAUGUUAUAGUGGAGGCACUAACUACAGCCCAUCUCUCAAGAGCCACAUCACCAUCUCCAGAGACAUGACCAAGAAGCAGUUCUCCCUGCAGCUGUGCUCUGUGACCACACAGGACACAGCCAUAUAUUACUGUGCAAAAGACACAGUGAUGCAAAAUCAGUGA